GUAAAAUUGUACACUGUGUAUGCCUCUCAGAAGCAAAGCCACCUACUCUAAUUUUUCCCAGCACGAUGCCGUGAUGCUGUGAACUUGGUGAGUCAUUUUAUGAAGAUUUACUACAAAGCCCCAAUCUGCAUAUUUUUUUGUAAUACAUUUCGAUUAAAUCUUUCUUUCUUUUUUUUUUUUUUCCCAGCAGUAGCCCAAACAGCCCAUUUUAUGGCCAAAAUUUCUCAUCUGGGCUGGGAUGUAAUGCACGUUAAAAAAAAAAAAUCAGUAAGUUUAUGAAAUGAUCCCUACGGCUUUUUAUUGAGUUAAAAAAUUUUGUGCGGAGAAGUGUCUAUAGUAUGCUAGCCUUUAAGGAAAAGUAAUCUGAAUAUAAAUUUGCUUACAUUAAAAAAAAUCACAGAAAAUGUUUAUUCAUGGGAGAGUGAGGAAAUGGAAUGGAAGAGAUAGAAGCUAGAUGCAUCUGAAUAUAUUUUGUUUUUGUUUUUAUUUCAAAAGCAUAUAAAUGUUUAAUAUGAUUAUAAAAAAUUAAUCAUAAAAUGAAGCAAUUUUUUUAAUUUGAAAGGAAAAUGAUAUAAAUAAAACCAAAUCUCAAAUGAGUGGCUUAAUCUCAUGCAGAAAUUAUUUCAAGUGACGCAGUCUAUAGAUAUACCCUAAGAAAAAUGGAUAAUUCACUGUUGGUGGGAAUGUAAAUUAGUAUAGCUAGUAUGGAAAACAGUUUGGAGGUUCCUCAAAACACUAGACAUAGAAAUACUAUUUGAUCCAGCAAUCCCAUUGCUGAGGUUAUAGCCAAAUGAAAGAAAAUCAGCCUGUCAAAGAGAUAUUUGUAUCCCCAUGUCUAUUAUUAUUCUUAGCAGCCAGAAAAUGGAAUCAGCCUAAAUGAUGUGGAUGAAGGAUAAAGAAUAUGGCAUAUGUACCCAAUGGUGUAUUACUCAGCCAUAAAAAGAAUGAAAUCUUGUCAUUUGUGACGACAUGGUUAAAGCCUGGGGGACGUUAUGUUAGUUGAAGUAGUCCAGCACAGAAUGGCAAACAUUCUUUGUUCUCAUUCAUAUGUGGAAGCUUAUCAGCAAAUUGAUUUCAAAGAAGCAAAGUGUAGAACUGAGGUUAUCAAAGGUUGGGAAGGGUGGGGUGGUGGUGGGAUAAGGAGAGAUUGACUAAUGGUACAAAAUUAUAUCCAUAGAAGACAAAUUUUAAGUUCUAGUUUUCCGUAACACAGCAGGGUGACUAUAGUUAGUGAUAAUUUAUUAUAUAUCCUAAAAUAGAAGAGAGAAUUUUAAAUGUUAGCACCACAAGGAAGUGAUAAAUAUCUAAGGUGAUGGAUAUGCUAAUUAUCCUGAUUUGAAUAUCACUUAUUAUUGAAAUAUCACACUGUACACCAUAAAAUGUACAAUUAGUAUGUACAAUUAAAAAGAAAUCAAGCUGUUUUCUUAAUAUUAUUGUUGGUGAUAAUAUUGUGUUUGUUUACUUCCUUUCCUCCCUUUCAUCAUUUUUUUUCUUCCUUAAAGAUAGAAAAAUUUGGCCAUCAAUAAAAUAGUACCUGCAAUAAAUUGAAACACAUCAAGUAUAUUUAAACCUAUAGAGAUAUUAAGACAUGUGUGUAGGUGCAUCUCAAAAGCCAAAGACCAUUGGUCAUCUUUGGAGGGUGUUGGAUAAAUAACUCACAAAUUUGAGAACUAGCAAAUGAAGGGAAAACAUUGAAAAUGUUGUUUUUUUUCUGUAUAUACUAUAUCACUG
rnacentral:lncRNA from 1 species